UGUAACUUGAAAUAACUGUGCAUUGCAUAGAGUUUUAAAUGAGUCUUGGAGAUCUUUUCAGUUGGACACCUGGUGGCAGUCAAGGAGAUAGAGAAUGGAAAGGCAGGUAGACUGUGGGCCUAAGAAAAGUUCUCAGGCUUACUUUGUCUUGUAAAAGUUCUAGUUAGCCAUUGCUCAGUUUUCGGUGGUGUUUUUUAAAUGGGGAUUGCUACCUAAUAUGGAAGUAGUCGCCACCUCCUCCCCGGUUCCAGGGCUACACUGAAGAUUAGCCUAAGUCAAAGCGGGAGAUCUGGAGGAAGUGUAAAAGGGUUGAAAGCUAAAAGCAAUGCAGAGGUGGAGAAGGGCAGAGUCGACACACCUGAGGAGAGGAACCAGCAGCUGGCCCCUCCCAGGCUGUAGGGGAAACAAGUUUAGCAGGAUUUAGCCCCAAGGAACAAAGCUGCAAACAGGAGAGGGGGAGGGAGAACAUUUGGAUUCGUCUGAAGAAUUGGGAGGCACCGGGCAGGGCAGGACUGUAAAGGGAGUGACUCUGCGAGAGCCGAGUCAUUGGCGACUUGCCUCGUUUUCUAGCGCCCCCAGACUUGGACGAGGUCAACUAGAAUACUAACUGGGUCUGCCCCGAAGCAGUCACCCUGCCCUCUUGACCCUGGAGCUCAGCCAAAGGAGGCUCCCUGGGUAGGAGGCCAAGGCCAGAAGUGACGUGGGCCUUCGCCAUUUCGCCGAAUCCCCCGGGGCUGCCCAACUCGCCCACAGCCUCCUCGGCCAUGGAAGUCGCCAGCAAUCCUGAGGCAGCGGGGACAGCCCGCUUCCAGCUGCAGGUGGGUCUUGCGCCCUUUACCCUCGCAGGGCCCGGCCCGGACGUAUUAGUGGGAUGAGGGACUGUGCUUCAGAACGUCUUUUGGCGCCCAGAGGCCUGUUCUACACGCAAAAGGCACUCUGGUACUGGUUUCGGUGGCAAUAAAAGAGUCCAAGGCUUUA